GAAAAAAGACGGAGCUGACCAAGACACAGAAGAAGCUGAAUCUUCUUGCACUGGAGUUUGUUGUGGCAUUGAGUACACUACCACAUAGUUUUUUAUAUUUAUUUUUAUUUAUUAUUUGCAUACAUAUUAUUUAUGUUUUUUUUCACUUUAAUU